GACGAACGCUGGCGGCGUGCUUAACACAUGCAAGUCGAACGAGAAUCUACGGAUCGAGGAUUCGUCCAAGUGAAGUAGAGGACAGUGGUGGACGGGUGAGUAACGCGUGAGGAACCUGCCUUUCAGAGGGGGACAACAGUUGGAAACGACUGCUAAUACCGCAUGACACAUUGGGGUCGCAUGGCCCUGAUGUCAAAGAUUUAUCGCUGAAAGAUGGCCUCGCGUCUGAUUAGCUAGUUGGUGAGGUAACGGCCCACAAAGGCGACGAUCAGUAGCCGGACUGAGAGGUUGACCGGCCACAUUGGGACUGAGAUACGGCCCAGACUCCUACGGGAGGCAGCAGUGGGGAAUAUUGGGCAAUGGGCGCAAGCCUGACCCAGCAACGCCGCGUGAAGGAAGAAGGCUUUCGGGUUGUAAACUUCUUUUGUCAGGGACGAGUAGAAGACGGUACCUGACGAAUAAGCCACGGCUAACUACGUGCCAGCCGCCGCCGUAA
rnacentral:rRNA from 1 species